GGGCACAUGGUGUAGUUGGUUAUCACGCCCGCUUAGCAUUUCGCUGUCUGCGGGCGGUGCCCGGUUCAAUUCCGGGUGUGUCCA